CCCUGGAAGAACUUAAGGAAAGAUUCAGGGAAGAAAUUAUGGUUAUACCUAUCCAUCUGAAUGUGCCGAAAAGCAAUGACGGCGAAUAGGGGGGCCUGGGUGGACCACUACCCCACCCAAAUUUGUCUUGGCCACCCUUGGUCACCUAACCAUAAAAGAAAACGAAGACAUUUUCUUUAAAAGAACAAAUUAUAAAAUUAAAAUUCUUUACUUCUAUAUGGCAACAAUUUAUUUUUUUUGUUGACCGAAUAAAAUAUGAAUAAUUCUUUGAGUUAUGAUCAUGAUCCUCAC